UUAAAAAGCUCGUAGUUGAAUUUCGGGAUUGACACAUCGGUCGUGCCUUAAGGGGUAUGAACUGGUGUAGUCAAUUUCUCACCUUCUGGAGAACCGCGAUGCCCUCAAUUGGGUGUCGCGGGGAACCAGGACCUUUACUUUGAAAAAAUUAGAGUGUUUAAAGCAGGCAUUUUGCUUGAAUACAUUAGCAUGGAAUAAUAAAAUAGGACGGCAUGAUUCUAUUUUGUUGGUUUCUAGGAUCACCGUAAUGAUUAAUAGGGAUAGUUGGGGG
rnacentral:rRNA from 1 species